rnacentral:rRNA from 1 species
GACGAACCGUGCGAACGUUGUUCGGAAUCACUGGGCUUAAAGGGCGCGUAGGCGGGCUGGUAAGUCAGGGGUGAAAGCCCACGGCCCAACCGUGGAAGUGCCUUUGAUACUGCCAGUCUCGAGGGAGGUAGGGGCGUGCGGAACUUCCGGUGGAGCGGUGAAAUGCGUAGAUAUCGGAAGGAACACCGGUGGCGAAAGCGGCGCGCUGGACCUCUUCUGACGCUGAGGCGCGAAAGCCAGGGGAGCAAAGCGGG